rnacentral:rRNA from 1 species
GCAAGUCGAACGGAGUUCUCUUCGGAGAACUUAGUAGCGGACGGGUGAGUAACGCGUGAGAAUCUGCCUUGAGGAUGGGGACAACAGAGGGAAACCGCUGCUAAUCCCCAAUAUGCCGGAAGGUGAAAAGGAGAAAUCCGCCUUAAGAGGAGCUCGCGUCCGAUUAGCUAGUUGGUGUGGUAAAAGCAUACCAAGGCGACGAUCAGUAUCUGGUUUGAGAGGACGAUC